rnacentral:rRNA from 1 species
GAUGAACGCUGGCGGCGUGCUUAACACAUGCAAGUCGAACGAAGGACCGAGAAGCUUGUCUCUCGGAUGUGAGCGGCGGACGGGUGAGUAACAGGUGGAUAACUUACCUGUAAGUAUGGGAUAACUUCGGGAAGCCGGAGAGUAGACCAGAUAAGAUUUUAACCCGCAGGGUCCAAAAGUGAAAGACGGUCGUGCGGACACGUACAGAGGGAUCCGCUCGGCAUUCGUUAGGUGGUAAGGUCAGGGAGUUCCAAGGCAACGAUGCAUACCCGACCUCAGAGGGUGGUCGCCCACCCUGGAGCUGAGACACGCUCCCGACUCCUGCGGGAGGCCGCAGUCGGGAAUCUUCCGCAAUGGGGGAGAGCCUGACAGAGCAACGCCGCGUGAGUGAUGAAGGUGCUCGGAUCGUGAAGCUCUGUUAUUAGGGGAGAACAUAUUUGUAAGUAGCUGUGCACAUCUUGACGGUACCUGAUCAGAAAGCCCCGGCUAACUACGUG